UGGAUCGGGGCGGCGGGGCGGGGCCUGGAGGCGGCGGGGCGAGAAGAACCGAGCGGCACCGAGGCCAACCAUCCGUUGGUGCGAAGGUUUCGGCCGGGAUCGAAGCGAUCCCGAACGGGGGGGAGGGGGAAUCCCGGAGUUCUUCCCGCUGAUUUCUCGCAAAUGUCCCCGCGUUCGUCAGCCGACGGCCGGCACGAAUCCCCGCCCUGCGCCUUAACGGCCAGGAACCCCGAGAAUGGGGCCAAGAACGAACGGCCCCAAGAGCAGCCGGCCCCAAUAACGGCCCCAAUAACAGCCCCAGGAACUGACAGCCCCAAUAACAGCCUCAAGAACGGUGCUAAUAGCUAACAGCCUCAGUAACUAACAGCCCCAAGAACAACCCUGAUAACAACCCCAAGAACUAACAGCCCCAAUAACAACCCCAGGAACAGCCCCAGGAACUGACAGCCCCAAGAACAGUGCUAAUAACUAACAGCCCCAAGAACAACCCUGAUAACAGCCCCAAGAACUAACGGCCCCAAAGAACAACCCCAGUAACAGUCAGCCCCAGAAACGAACAGCCCCAAGAACAGCCCCUGUAACAACCAGCCCCAGGAACUAACAGCCCCAAGGCAGUGCUAAUAACUAACAGCCCCAAGAACAACCCCAGUAACAGCCAGCCCCAAUAACUAACGGCCCCAAGAACAGCGCUGCUAUCUAACAACCCCAAUAACUAGCAGCCCCGAGAACAACACUAAGAACUAACAGCACCAGUAACAACCCUGAUAACAGCCCCAAGAACAUCCAGCCCCAUUAACAACCCCAAGAACUAACAGUCCCAGUAACGAACAGCUGCAAGAACUAACAGCCAGCACCACUAAUAGCCAGCCCCAUUAACAACCAGCCCCAUUAACAGCCCCAAUACAUCCCAUUUCUUCAGCAGUUGCCCACCAGAUACCCCCAGAUCCCCCUAUGAAAUCCCCCCCCAAUCCUUCCCUCUGAUCCCCUCCCCAUAAUUCCCCCCUCUCAUGUUCAUUCCUCCCCCUGAUCCCCCCCAAUUCAACCCAUGUCCCCCCCAGACCCCACCCAGCAGCUCUCCCCAUUCUAAACCAAGCCCUCCCCAGCUGGCAGCUCCAGACUUCCACCCCCUCCCCCCAUUCCUCACCCUACAUCCCCCAAUUCCCUCCACGCAAACAUCCCCCAUUUCUUCAGCCACCAUCCGUUUAUCCCCCACAUUCCCUUCACCCCAAACAUCCCCCGUUUCCUCAGCCAGCACCUGGCAGCUCACACCCCCCAAACGAUUCCAUCCUGGCAGCUGACAUCCCAAUUCUUUAGCAUGGAUCCAUCGAAUACCCCUUAAUUCCCCUCCCUGAAGGAACCAGCUCCGUCCAUUGCUUUGUGCCCUAUAGCAGUGGGGCUGCUCCUCUUGGCUCCCCAAAACCCCAUUUUGUUGCAGACCCCCCUUCGCCCCCAUCACAUCCUUCUGCCCUCUGUGUCCACCCUGAAUAUUUCACCCUUCUUUAUUUUUACUUAUGUAAGCUUCAAAACAACCCCAGAAAGCUGCAGGUAUCCCUUUUCCAUGGGUUUUUUUUCCCUCUGAGAGCUCCUUAAUGCCAUCCCACUGUUAUGCUCUCCAUAAAACCCUUCUGGCAUCGGUUUAAGGCAACCUGAGGAGUGCAGCUGGUGGGGUUUUGUCCGAAACACGGCGUUGAUGGGACGGAAGGGGCGAUGCUGAUAGAUGCCGUGGCCCUGUGCUGUGUGCUGGCUCAGCUGGAGCCGUUCCACCGAGCUCUGCCUGCUCCUCUCAGCUUUGGGGGCGGAUGAGACGACUUUGGCUGUUUGUUGUGGUUCUGGAAAUGCGGUUUCCUUACCUCAAACGAACGCUCGAUGCUGAAGGUGAUCUCAAAAGCUGAAGCUCUGUUGCUCAGCCCUCCGCCUGCUGUCAUUUCCCACCCCGUGGCACUGAUCUGACGUCAGCUGUGCUCCUGUUGGGCUGUUUGAAGUCGUGCUGAUGCUGUCGUGUUGUAAAACCUGCGCCCCUGCCCCGUCCCCUUCGCUGCAAACACAGCACUCAGCACCAAAACUGGGGCUUUCCCAGUUUGUUUUGCACCCCGGCUGUGCUAAUUACUGUAAUUACUGUGAGGCUGAGUAACUGUUGCUGCCGUGUUAUCUGAUGGCUUCAAGGGAGGGGACCGGCCGUUAGCUAACGAAGCGGAGCCCUCGUUAGCACGAAUCCCGUGCGUGCAUCACAUGGAAGGCCGUGUUUGCAGGGCAGCAGACCUGCUCUGCGUGUUGCUGCUUCGUUAACUCCUCGGUGCUUUAAUUUCCAUCCGGUUUGGGGCUGUUUGGAUGCCGUAAGGAUGGCAGUCAUCUCUGCGCUGUGGGCUUUGCUGCUGGGGAGGAGGAGUUCUCCGCUCUCUGCACGGUUUGAAGUCGUUGCAGGAGGUUUAUCUCGGAACGGUCGAGAUUAUUUUUGUUACUAUUUGUCAUCAAAUUACUCUUCUACGGCCACAACUUUCCUGCCUGGGGUAGAGGAGGCCCCGCGUGGCAGUGAUGGAGGACGCGACGCUGCUGGGAUUUGCGGUGACAAAAGGGGUUUGGUGCAGCUGCAAGGACCCGACGUUGGUUGUGUGGGCUCAGCAGCCGAAGUGCUGCUGUCAGCUCCCAUCACAAAGCCAGCAGAUCAGAAACCAUGGGCCGAUUUCCCACCUUUCAGCUCCGUGUUCCCCCCGCCUCCGGGUGCCAAUCCCUGCCUAUGGAGGGGUUCAUCACUUCGGGAUGCGCUCAGCUGCUAAUUACCCCCCCUUAACGAGCUCAGGCUCCGCCAGAAGGGAUGACACGGAUCCGGGGAGAUGCAGAGCAGCUCCAAAAACCAAAACAGGAACUUGGGGCAACGGUGAGAACAUCACUGAAUAUCCUGAAACCUGAAACCCCGCGGGCUCAUUCCCGGAAAUGGGAAGCUGUGCUUGGGAUUGGGGACGUUGGUGUCUGCCUUCCUGUUGGGAAUCUCCGCAAGCUUUUCCUGCUCCCAAACGCUCCUCUGCGUGCAGGAAGAAAUGGAACCUUUGGCAGGAGGAGCCGCUGCCGUUGGAGCUCUGUGCUUUUCCUUAUUGCUGUCCCGCUGCAGAUCUUUCUUCCAGCGGUAGCCUCAAAAAUGGAGGUGGGAGGGCUUGGCUGGUGAAGGAGCAGCACCCGACGCCUCGAGGGCUCGAAGGAUUUAAGGGUGUCCUGGUG